ensembl:lncRNA novel transcript, antisense to GGN
CGCAGCGCGGGUGUUAGCUGCCCCAGUCUGAGAGGCCCCGCUGCCACCACCCCCUCCACCACUGCUGUCAGGCACGGUAGCUGUAGCUCGUUCGCGAGGACCAUCUCCAUGCAAGCCAUCCUUACGGGUCGCGCCCCGGGCUGCACGGGAACCCUUGUUCCUGCGCGUGCGGGUCUUGAUGGGCGCAGCCGCGGGUGCGGGCGCGGACACAGGCGGGUGUGGCCAGAGCAGGAGUGAUUCUGCGGUCCGCCGGCUGCCGUUCAGAAGGUAAUGGUGGUGGCGGCUUCCAAGUCUCCA